CCCUUUUUAAGCUUGUCCCUCAUUGCAUACUGGAUAACUCAAUAUGACUUGUUACCAAGAUCUUGUUCAAGUGUAGAGAGACUGGCUUUUGGGGUCUUCCAAGAGCCAAAUUUGAAAAAACAACAGAGUCGUGGACGUGGACAAGAGAAAAAGAGAGAGAAGAGAGAGUGCAGAGAUGAUUCGGAGACUGGAGACGUGCAUAGCACUGGUUAAACUGGCCAUAAAUUUUGUGAUAGUGGUAGCAGAAGCACUUGGGACGGUCAUUGAAGAGAACAACUCUCAUCGUCAGCUACAUAGGAUGUCGAGUAACGCCAUUUCGAUCCCUUCUGUUGGUUUUCUUCCUUAUUGAUUUUCAUUUGUCUAUGAAUUUCUUCAUUGUGAUCAGGCACACACACACUGCUAGCUGAUCAUGAGGUUGCUUUUCUUUGUGUUUGGUUAUGUUUUUUUGUUUUCGCUGGAGUAGUAAACAUGUAUACAUAUAUAUAUAUAUAUAUAGGCAAGGUUUCUGUGAAUUCA